rnacentral:rRNA from 1 species
AACGAACGCUGGCGGCAUGCCUAACACAUGCAAGUCGAACGAGACCUUCGGGUCUAGUGGCGCACGGGUGCGUAACGCGUGGGAACCUGCCCUUAGGUUCGGAAUAACUCCCCGAAGGGGGUGCUAAUACCGGAUAAUGCCUUCGGACCAAAGAUUUAUCGCCUUUGGAUGGGCCCGCGUUGGAUUAGCUAGUUGGUAGGGUAAAAGCCUACCAAGGCGACGAUCCAUAGCUGGUCUGAGAGGAUGAUCAGCCACACUGGGACUGAGACACGGCCCAGACUCCUACGGGAGGCAGCAGUGGGGAAUAUUGGACAAUGGGCGAAAGCCUGAUCCAGCAAUGCCGCGUGAGUGAUGAAGGCCUUAGGGUUGUAAAGCUCUUUUACCCGGGAUGAUAAUGACAGUACCGGGAGAAUAAGCUCCGGCUAACUCCGUG